AUGGGGACCAGUAUCAGCUUUACCUUCAUCCUUAGCACUGAAAUGUUUACCAAUCUCUUCUCCAUUCCAGAACCAGGAACCAACAUUGGCCUCCUCUCCAGCCCCAAAGCAGCUCCUGGCCUAGCCUUACAGCUGGUCCCAGCCACAGGCUCCAACUUCUCAGCACAGGAUGGGGGACCAGUAUCAGCUUUACCUUCAUCCUUAGCACUGAAAUGUUUACCAAUCUCUUCUCCAUUCCAGAACCAGGAACCAACAUUGGCCUCCUCUCCAGCCCCAAAGCAGGUAUCAGUACGAGUCUUAUCUUUACCUGUAAACCUGGACUCAGCAGUAGCCUGAGCCGCAGAACAAAAUCGAGCUGCUCUAUUGGCCUCAUCUUCAGCUUUGGGACGGACAUCUGGCAGAUGUUCUUUCAUCUCAGUAACAAUCUUGUUCUUAGACGCUGGCUUCACCACUGCCACUGCAUCUGCCCGGGGCCCUGCCUUGCUUAUUGCUUUGGCCUGGGUUUUGGCUGCACCAGUAGCCUCCCUCUUUCCUUCAGCUGAUCUGACUGUAUCAGUGGCCUCCCUUUUUCCUUCAGCUUCUACAACAGCCCUUUUUCAGUUUUGCCUUCUUUUAUUCUCAUUCUUUCUAUUCCUAUUCCUUCUAUUCUUAGCUCCAGGCAUAGCUGAAGCCUAGUUAUAUAGAUAGCUCUACACAGUCUUGGCCUUGGUUCUCAAUAUGUCUUGGGUCAGUGUCCUAAUAUUCUUUUACUAGGUUGAAGGUGAUGAUCUUCUGUCACUCCAAAGCCACCACAGCUAGCACUGGAGAUAGACCUGAGGUGGAAGAAGAAAACAAGCUUUCAGUCUCUUCCAACUGCAUUUUUCUAUGCACAAAGUCACACAGGACGUAAGACUACAGAUGGAUUGUAUGGUAAUAGUAGAAUAGUAGAAAAUGUUUUACCUCGUUUUAUCCCUACCAUAGUCCCACUAAUGCCCAACAAUGCCCUGUCCAGACACUUCUCUUUCCUCUGCAUCAAAUAGGAACAGAGAUGAUGAGAAAGUUUGGUGAAAGUGAGCAAGACUAAGGGGUACAGCCCUUUGGAAUAUACCACUAUACUCCACAGGUCUAUCCUGGUAUGCCUCACACCAACCUGCACUGAUAUGGUGGACUUUUCUCCUCUCUUGUUUCUGUGUUGACAAGCCCUAUAGCCAACUCACAGGUGGACCUAUGAACAAAAACACAGAAGGGAUUGGAACUUUAAGCAUUUGGUAGAUAUGCACUCUGGCUUCUAAACCCAGUACCUGCCUUUCCAAAUCUAGAGCUUUGUUUCUGGCCUCCUUGAUCUUCUUCCAUGUUACCCUUCUCUACUUCCUGGGUAUCUAUCAAUUACCCUAUAGUCACAACGUGUCUUAUCAUAUCCCCAUUUCCCAUACAUAAAUGUGAGGGCAAAGGUGUGUGCGGUUGGAAUACAAUGGCUUCAAGAUAUGAUCUAGUCUUACUUGUCAAUAGCCAAUUCCCACUCUCAAUCAAUGAGGGUGCUCAUGCUCCCACUCACCUUGGAUUCAAAUGAAUAGCUUUCGUCUUCUUUCCUAAUCAAAUUCAAAGAGAACAGCUACCUGCAGAUUUCUACAGGACUCUGAAAAGAACAAACCUAUGAAAGACAAAAAAAUAAGAAAGAAAACAGAAGAGACUGAGAUGACCCAACACCCAUCACAAGUGUUACAACACACACUUCUGUAUAUUCAAGGCCAUGAAAAAUGUCUCCCAUCUCUGCUCUUCCCAAGUGAUCUCCCAUCCACCCCUGCUAGAGACCUGCAGCUUGUCUAAUCAUACCUUCCAACUCUAAAGUCAGUCAU
ensembl:lncRNA